UCACUUGGCAUAUUGCUUUGCAGACUCACUGAUACUCCUGCGUGUCUCAGGGGUUGACUCCUUUUUGUUGCUGAACUGUAUUCUAUUGUAUGUGUCUUCCCACUUUUAAAACUCGGUCCAAGAGUCGCCUUCUCCAGAAAGUCUUCUCUGACUCGGAUGCAAGCACGAAUGGCCCUCGUUGGAGGGAGGCAGCCUUAACUUCAGACACGCCGAUGCUCUACAAAUGAACUUCCAAGGGAUGCAUUUACCUUUGCUUCUCUCAACAGCCCUGUGACAUUGGCACUGAUCUACACACUUGAUGAAGAAGGAAAUUAAGAUGGCUGGAGUUGGCUUGGGAAGCUGCAGGCGGCUAUCCUUGCACGAACCAAACUGAGGUGGCACUGGAUGGCACCUGGCCACAUGCAGCGGGGACAUGAUGGGGAGCAGAAAACACAUAAAAAGAGCUUUGGCUUCACUGUCGCUUCAUCGGCUAUCUCUCAGCUGGGAAAGUCAAUCUGACGCACCUCCCAUUCAAGAUCUCCCCUCACUCCCACAGAGGACCAGGAGGGAAUGAAAUUCAACUCACGUGGGCCAGUCGAUCAAAUCUGGCAAAGAGCUCGUUGAGCAUCCUGACCAGCUCCUGGGCAGACAAGGUUGUGGAGAGCACAUCUUAGUGUCCUGUACCCCCUCCUCUUGUGAGGAGAGAUGAUAAAAUGCCUACGUCACGUGAUGAAGCAAGAGCAGUGAUGCAGGU